rnacentral:rRNA from 1 species
GUAGGGAAUCUUCGGCAAUGGACGAAAGUCUGACCGAGCAACGCCGCGUGAGUGAAGAAGGUUUUCGGAUCGUAAAACUCUGUUGUUAGAGAAGAAUGUUGAUUAGAGUGGAAAAUUAAUCAAGUGACGGUAUCUAACCAGAAAGGGACGGCUAACUACGUGCCAGCAGCCGCGGUAAUACGUAGGUCCCGAGCGUUGUCCGGAUUUAUUGGGCGUAAAGCGAGCGCAGGUGGUUUAAUAAGUCUGAUGUAAAAGGCAGUGGCUCAACCAUUGUGUGCAUUGGAAACUGUUAGACUUGAGUGCAGUAGAGGAGAGUGGAAUUCCAUGUGUAGCGGUGAAAUGCGUAGAUAUAUGGAGGAACACCGGUGGCGAAAGCGGCUCUCUGGACUGUCACUGACACUGAGGCUCGAAAGCGUGGGUAGCAAACAGGAUUAGAAACCCGAGUAGUCC